rnacentral:rRNA from 1 species
UACGUAGGGGGCAAGCGUUGUCCGGAUUUAUUGGGCGUAAAGAGCGUGUAGGCGGCCAGGUAGGUCCGUUGUGAAAACUCGAGGCUCAACCUCGAGACGUCGGCGGAAACCCUCUGGCUAGAGUCCGGAAGAGGAGAGUGGAAUUCCGUGGUGUAGCGGUGAAAUGCGCAGAUAUCAGGAAGAACACCCGGUGGCGAAGGCGGCUCUCUGGGACGGUACUGGACGCUGAGACGCGAAAGCGUGGGGAGCAAACAGGG